rnacentral:rRNA from 1 species
UCCCUAUGGGGUGCAGCAGGCGCGAAACCUCCACAAUGCGCGAAAGCGUGAUGGGGUUAGCCCGAGUGCCGUCCGAAAAGGAUGGCUUUUCCUUGGUGUAAAAACCCAGGGGAAUAAAGGGGGGGCAAGACUGGUGUCAGCCGCCGCGGUAAUACCAGCCCCCUGAGUGGUAAGGACGAUUAUUUGGCUUAAAGCGUCCGUAGCCGGCUUAGUGAGUCUUUUGUUAAAUCCAAUGAUUCAAUCAUUGAACUGCAAGAGAUACUGCUACGCUAGAGGACGGGAGAGGUCGACGGUAGUCCAGGGGUAGGGGUGAAAUCCUAUAAUCCUUGGAGGACCACCAGUGGCGAAGGCUGUCGACUAGAACGCGCCCGACGGUGAGGGAUGAAAGCUGGGGGAGCGAACCGGAUUAGAUACCCGGGUAGUCCCAGCUGUAAACGAUGCAGGCUAGGUGUUUGGGCGGCCACGAGCCGCCCUAGUGCCGCAGGGAAGCUGUUAAGCCUGCCGCCUGGGGAGUACGGCCGCAAGGCUGAAACUUAAAGGAAUUGGCGGGGGAGCACCACAAGGGGUGAAGCUUGCGGUUUAAUUGGAUUCAACGCCGGAA